UGGGGGAUAUUGCACAAUGGGCGAAAGCCUGAUGCAGCGACGCCGCGUGGGGGAUGAAGGCCUUCGGGUUGUAAACUUCUUUUGCUCUGAACAAGGCAUGCUAAUGGGUGUGUUGAGUGUAGGGGUUGAUUAGCGCCGGCUAACUACGUGCCAGCAGCCGCGGUAAUACGUAGGGCGCGAGCGUUGUCCGGAAUUAUUGGGCGUAAAGGGCUUGUAGGUGGCUGGUUGCGUCUGUCGUGAAAGCUCAUGGCUUAACUGUGGGUUUGCGGUGGGUACGUGAUGGCUUGAGUGCAGUAGGGGAGGCUGGAAUUCCUGGUGUAGCGGUGGAAUGCGCAGAUAUCAGGAGGAAUACCGGUGGCGAAGGCGGGUCUCUGGGCUGUUACUGACACUGAGGAGCGAAAGCAUGGGGAGCGAACAGG
rnacentral:rRNA from 1 species